AUUGAACGCUGGCGGCAGGCCUAACACAUGCAAGUCGAACGAGUGGCGGACGGGUGAGUAAUGUCUGGGAAACUGCCUGAUGGAGGGGGAUAACUACUGGAAACGGUAGCUAAUACCGCAUACCAUCGGAUGUGCCCAGAUGGGAUUAGCUAGUAGGUGGGGUAACGGCUCACCUAGGCGACGAUCCCUAGCUGGUCUGAGAGGAUGACCAGCGCCACUGUAACUGAGAUACGGACCAAACUCCUACUGGAGGCAGCAGUGGGGAAUAUUGCACAGUGAGGGAAACCCUGAUACAGCAACGCCGCGUGCGGUAUGACGGUUUUCGGGUUGUAAACCGCUUUCAGCCAUGAAGCGGUAGUGGCAGAAGAAGCACCGGCUAACUACGUGCCAGCCGCCGCGGUAAUUC
rnacentral:rRNA from 1 species